rnacentral:rRNA from 1 species
UACGUAGGCAGCGAGCGUUGUUCGGAGUUACUGGGCGUAAAGAGCGUGUAGGCGGCCAGGUAGGUCGGUUGUGAAAACUGGAGGCUCAACCUCCAGAGGUCGACCGAAACCAUCUGGCUAGAGUCCGGGAGAGGAGAGUGGAAUUCCUGGUGUAGCGGUGAAAUGCGCAGAUAUCAGGAAGAACACCCGUGGCGAAAGCGGCUCUCUGGAACGGUACUGACGCUGAGACGCGAAAGCGUGGGGAGCGAACAGG